GACGAACGCUGGCGGUGUGCUUAACACAUGCAAGUCGAACGGUAAGGCCCUUUCGGGGGUACACGAGUGGCGAACGGGUGAGUAACACGUGAGUAACCUGCCCUCAUCUCUGGGAUAACAGUCGGAAACGGUUGCUAAUACUGGAUAUGAGCCUGCAAGGCAUCUUGUGGGUUGGAAAGAUUUUUUGGUUGGGGAUGGACUCGCGGCCUAUCAGCUUGUUGGUGAGGUAGUGGCUCACCAAGGCUUCGACGGGUAGCCGGCCUGAGAGGGCGACCGGCCACAUUGGGACUGAGAUACGGCCCAAACUCCUACGGGAGGCAGCAGUGGGGAAUAUUGCACAAUGGACGGAAGUCUGAUGCAGCAACGCCGCGGGCGGGAGGACGGCCUUCGGGUUGUAAACCGCUUUCAAUUGUGACGAAGCUUUUUGUGACGGUAGCAGUAGAAGAAGCACCGGCUAACUACGUG
rnacentral:rRNA from 1 species